AAUGAACGUUGGCGGCGUGGAUUAGGCAUGCAAGUCGUGCGGAAAGGCCCCGCAAGGGGUACUCGAGCGGCGAAAGGGAUAGUAACACGUAGGUACCUACCCUCAGGACCGGGAUAGCUACGGGAAACUGUAGGUAAUACCGGAUAAUGUUUCCGAACCAAAGGUGUGAUUCCGCCUGAGGAGGGGCCUGCGUCCUAUUAGCUAGUUGGUGAGGUGACGGCCCACCAAGGCUGAGAUGGGGUAGCGGGUGUGAGAGCAUGACCCGCAUCAUUGGGACUGAGACACUGCCCAGACACCUACGGGUGGCAG
rnacentral:rRNA from 1 species